rnacentral:tRNA from 4 species
UUACUGAUAGGUUAAGUUAAACUAACAAAUUGUGGUUUUGUUGAUUACAGUUCUUUUUUAGUAUC